AUACAGUGGAAUAUGUUGAACAAUAUCUAACUACUGUAGUAAUAUUCCAGUACAACAUUUAUUUGUACGCAUGACGACCUCCUAGGAGCGAUUUUACGUCCAGCUUGACAAUGAUGCCAUUGACAUCGAAACCCAUCACCGGAAAGACGACUUAAAGGAUUACUUGGACAGAAUAAAGAUUUAAAAAAAUCGGAGCUAGAAACUGAGAGAGAGAUGUGUCGUCGGCGAACAGGGAUAACUUUGAGGAAGUUACCCAGGAAUAGAGAUUGUUAUUAACAAGUAGGAAAAGGACUGGUCCCAGGACGGAGCCCUGAGGCACCCCCUUCUCAGCAACAGAAUUCUCAGCAGAAG